rnacentral:rRNA from 1 species
CGCCUYUUGCACACCUAUGUAUAAGAGGUCCCGCCUGCCCUGUGACUAUAAGUUUAACGGCCGCGGUAUUUUGACCGUGCGAAGGUAGCGCAAUCACUUGUCUUUUAAAUGAAGACUAGUAUGAAUGGCACGACGAGGGCUCAACUGUCUCCUUCUUUCAGUCAAUGAAAUUGAUCUGCCCGUGCAGAAGCGGACAUAUUAACAUAAGACGAGAAGACCCUAUGGAGCUUCCAGACGCACAGGAAGUCCACGUUAAAAAACUACAACCAAGUAACCUAACCAAAUGAGAUCUCCCUGGAUGUCUUUGGUUGGGGCGACCACGGGGAAAUAAAUAACCCCCGCGAGGAAUGAGAGCAGGCUCUUAUAUUUAAGAACGGCGGUUCUAAGAAUCAGAAAAUCUGACCGCACGAUCCGGCAAGACCGAUCAACGAACCAAGUUACCCUAGGGAUAACAGCGCAAUCCCCUUUUAGAGUCCCUAUCAACAAGGGGGUUUACGACCUCGAUGUUGGAUCAGGACAUCCUAAUGGUGCAGCCGCUAUUAAGGGUUCGUUUGUUCAACGAUUAAAGUCCU